UACAGAGGGUGCAAGCGUUGUUCGGAAUUAUUGGGCGUAAAGCGCGUGUAGGCGGUUUGAUUAGUCUGAUGUGAAAGCCCUGGGCUCAACCCAGGAAGUGCAUUGGAAACUGUCAGACUUGAAUACGGGAGAGGGUAGUGGAAUUCCUAGUGUAGGAGUGAAAUCCGUAGAUAUUAGGAGGAACACCGGUGGCGAAGGCGGCUCUCUGGACCAAUACUGACGCUGAGGCGCGAAGGCGUGGGUAGCAAACAGGAUUAGAAACCCCUGUAGU
rnacentral:rRNA from 1 species